rnacentral:rRNA from 1 species
UACGGAGGGGGCUAGCGUUGUUCGGAAUCACUGGGCGUAAAGCGCGCGUAGGCGGCUUGAUAAGUUAGAAGUGAAAGCCCUGGGCUUAACCUAGGAAUUGCUUUUAAAACUGUCGAGCUAGAGAAUGGUAGAGGAGAGUGGAAUUCCUAGUGUAGAGGUGAAAUUCGUAGAUAUUAGGAGGAACACCAGAGGCGAAGGCGGCUCUCUGGGCCAUUUCUGACGCUAAGGCGCGAAAGCGUGGGGAGCAAACAGG